GACGAACGCUGGCGGCGUGCUUAACACAUGCAAGUCGAACGGUGAAGCUCCAGCUUGCUGGAGUGGAUCAGUGGCGAACGGGUGAGUAACACGUGAGCAACCUGCCCCUGACUCUGGAAUAAGCGCUGGAAACGGCGUCUAAUACUGGAUACGAGAAGGGCCCGCAUGGGCACUUUCUGGAAAGUUUUUCGGUUGGGGAUGGGCUCGCGGCCUAUCAGCUUGCUGGUGAGGUAAUGGCUCACCAAGGCGACGACGGGUAGCCGGCCUGAGAGGGCGACCGGCCACACUGGGACUGAGACACGGCCCAGACUCCUACGGGAGGCAGCAGUGGGGAAUAUUGCACAAUGGGCGAAAGCCUGAUGCAGCGACGCCGCGUGAGGGAGGACGGCCUUCGGGUUGUAAACCUCUUUCAGCAGGGAAGAAGCCACAAGUGACGGUACCUGCAGAAGAAGCGCCGGCUAACUACGUG
rnacentral:rRNA from 1 species